CCCCCCUCGAGAUGAGAUUUCCCAACUUCGGUUAUAAGAUCCCUCAAAGAUGAUGAGGUGAAUAGGUUCGAGGUGGAAGCGUAGCGAUACGUGGAGCUGACGAAUACUAAUCGAUCGAAGACUUAAUCAAU
rnacentral:rRNA from 1 species